rnacentral:rRNA from 1 species
AUACGGAGGAUCCGAGCGUUAUCCGGAUUUAUUGGGUUUAAAGGGUGCGCAGGCGGGAGAUUAAGUCGGCGGUGGAAUUUUGCAGCUCAACUGUAAAAGUGCCUUCGAAACUGGUUUCCUUGAGUGUAGAUGAAGUAGGGGGAAUUUGUGGUGUAGCGGUGAAAUGCAUAGAUAUCACGAGGAACUCCGAUUGCGCAGGCAGCUUACUAAACUACUACUGACGCUCAGGCACGAAGGCGUGGGGAUCAAACAGGAUUAGAUACCCUGGUAGUCCACGCAGUAAACGAUGAUUACUAGCUGUUUGCGAUACAAUGUAAGCGGCUGAGCGAAAGCGUUAAGUAAUCCACCUGGGGAGUACGUUCGCAAGAAUGAAACUCAAAGGAAUUGACGGGG